UACAGAGGUCUCAAGCGUUGUUCGGAUUCAUUGGGCGUAAAGGGUGCGUAGGCGGCGAGGUAAGUCUGGUGUGAAAUCCCGGGGCUCAACCCCGGAACUGCACUGGAUACUGCUUUGCUAGAGUACUGGAGAGGGAACUGGAAUUUACGGUGUAGCAGUGAAAUGCGUAGAUAUCGUAAGGAAGACCAGCGGCGAAGGCGAGUUCCUGGACAGUUACUGACGCUGAGGCACGAAGGCCAGGGGAGCAAACGGG
rnacentral:rRNA from 1 species